rnacentral:rRNA from 1 species
CAGUAGCCACGGGAACACGAAGGGUGCAAGCGUUACUCGGAAUUACUGGGCGUAAAGCGUGCGUAGGUGGUGGUUUAAGUCCGUUGUGAAAGCCCUGGGCUCAACCUGGGAAUUGCAGUGGAUACUGGGUCACUAGAGUGUGGUAGAGGAUAGUGGAAUUUCCGGUGUAGCAGUGAAAUGCGUAGAGAUCGGAAGGAACAUCUGUGGCGAAGGCGACUAUCUGGGCCAACACUGACACUGAGGCACGAAAGCGUGGGGAGCAAACAGGAUUAGAUACCCCGGUAGUCCCUGUCUCUUAUAC